rnacentral:rRNA from 1 species
UACGAAGGGAGCUAGCGUUGUUCGGAAUCACUGGGCGUAAAGCGCACGUAGGCGGAUGUGUCAGUCAGGGGUGAAAUCCCGGAGCUCAACUUCGGAACUGCCUUUGAUACAGCACAUCUGGAGUCCGGAAGAGGGGGGUGGAAUUCCAGGUGUAGCAGUGAGAUGCGUAGAUAUCUGGAGGAACACCGAUGGCGAAGGCAGCCCCCUGGGCUAACACUGACGCUGAGGCGCGAAAGCUAGGGGAGCAAACAGG